UUGCGUCUAUUGGAUAGACUUGGAGCAGAUACUGUCCAUUCAAAGGUUUCCAUUACAGAUGCAAGGAAAAAGUGCCCACAUGCUUUCAGUCUGUCUGACUCUGGCAGCCAAGAUUGAAUUGGGGAACACAGAA
rnacentral:snoRNA from 1 species